CAUAUACUCCCUCCGUCUGGAAUUACUUGUCGCAAAAAUUGAUAAAAUUGGAUGUAUCUAAAACCAAAAUACAUCUAGAUACAUUCAUUCUUAUGACAAGUAUUUCCGGACGGAGGAAUACUAG
rfam:Hordeum vulgare subsp. vulgare, WGS project CAJW01000000 data, contig: morex_contig_39149